rnacentral:rRNA from 1 species
GACGAACGCUGGCGGCGUGCUUAACACAUGCAAGUCGAGCGGUAAGGCCCUUUCGGGGGUACACGAGCGGCGAACGGGUGAGUAACACGUGGGUGACCUGCCCUCAGCUCUGGGAUAAGCCUGGGGAACCGGGUCUAAUACUGGAUAUGACUCCAUGACGCAUGUUGUGGGGUGGAAAGCCUUGUGCGGCUGAGGAUGGGCCCGCGGCCUAUCAGCUUGUUGGUGGGGUGANGGCCUACCAAGGCGACGACGGGUAGCCGGCCUGAGAGGGCGACCGGCCACACUGGGACUGAGACACGGCCCAGACUCCUACGGGAGGCAGCAGUGGGGAAUCUUGCGCAAUGGGACGAAAGCCUGACGCAGCGACGCCGCGUGAGGGAUGACGGCCU